CGUAAGGUUUUAAUAAAAACCACCAAAUCUUAAUAGAGCAGGAUU
rfam:Podiceps cristatus contig15924, whole genome shotgun sequence.